AUGGAUCAAGCAAUCAAGGGCACAGGGUGGAUGUCUAGGCACGGACUGGCGAGGAAGGACGUGGCAAGCUGCGAUAAGCCAGGGGUAGCUGCAAGCAAGCGUUAAUCCCUGGAUUUCCGAAUGGGGAAACCCGGCCGGGGUGAUGCCCGGUCAUCCCUUCGCUGAAUACAUAGGCGUUGGGAAGCGAACCGAGGGAACUGAAACAUCUAAGUACCUCGAGGAAGAGAAAACAACCGUGAUUCCCUCAGUAGCGGCGAGCGAACGGGGAAGAGCCCAAACCAUGGAGGUGUCAAAGGCGGCAGCCGUUGCUUCCAUGGGGUAGGAGGGUGGUUCGCGGGAGUCUGCCGGCUCUCGGAGCGUCGCGCGGCGGUGAGUCGAAUCCGUCUGGAAAGCCAAGCCAUAGAGGGUGACAGCCCCGUAGGCGAAGCCGACGUUGCGAUCUCUGGACCAUUCCUGAGUAGGUCGGGACACGUGAAAUCCCGAUUGAAUCCGGCAGGACCACCUGCCAAGGCUAAAUACACGUCCGUGACCGAUAGCGAACGAGUACCGUGAGGGAAAGAUGAAAAGUACGCCGGGAGGCGGGUGAAACAGAUCCUGAAACCGUGUGCCUACAAGCGGUGGGAGCUCGACCCUUUCUUCGUGAGAGACGUCGGGUGACCGCGUGCCUUUUGCAUUAUGAUCCGGCGAGUUGUUCCUCAGUAGCGAGGUUAAGCCGUUCAGCGGCGGAGCCGAAGCGAAAGCGAGUCUUAACUGGGCGUAGAGUUGCUGGGGACAGACCCGAAACCAGAGUGAUCUAUCCAUGGCCAGGUUGAAGCGAGGGUAAUGCUUCGUGGAGGACCGAACCGUUGUGGGUUGAAAACUGCUCGGAUGAGCUGUGGAUAGGGGUGAAAGGCCAAUCAAACCUGGAGAUAGCUGGUUCUCCCCGAAAGAUAUUUAGGUAUCGCCUCUGAGUGUAGACUGCGGGAGGUAGAGCACUGGAAGGGCUAGGGCCCUAAACCGGGUACCAACCCCUACUAAACUCCGAAUGCCCGUUAGUUGGUCUCAGGGAGGAAGUGCACGUGCGAUAAUGUUCGUGCGCGAGAGGGAAAGAGCCCAGACCGUCAGCUAAGGUCCCCAAGUGCUAGCUAAGUGACAAAGGUGGUGGAUUUGCGGAGACAACUGGGAGGUUGGCUUAGAAGCAGCCAUCCUUGAAAGAGUGCGUAAUAGCUCACCAGUCAAGCGGAUCUGCGCCGAUAAUGGUCGGGACUGAAGUUAGCCACCGAAGCUAAGGCUGCGCGCACAUGCGCGCGGGGUAGGGGAGCGUUGCCUGAGCCGUGAAGCGGGGCCGGAAGGCUACCCGUGGAGCGCAGGCAAGUGAGAAUGCCGGAAUGAGUACGCGAGAAACAAGGUGAGAACCCUUGUCGCCGUAAGCCCAAGGUUUCCUGAGCCAUGCCAAUCAGCUCAGGGUUAGUCGGCCCCUAAGGUGAGGCCGAAAGGCGUAGCCGAUGGAAAACGGGUCAACAUUCCCGUACCACACGAUACUGCGCUUGAGUCUGCGGAGGGACGCAGAGGUGAAAGGUCCGUCGUUUCCAUGGACAUGAACGAUGUAAGGACGUAGGCGUUUCCGGGUAGGCAAAUCCGCCCGGUGAAGCCGAGAUCCGAUGCCGAAGAAGUCUUCGGACUUCGCUAAGGGACCGUAAUCGUACUGCCAAGAAAAGCUUCGUGGACGAGGAGUACGUGUGACCGUACCGUAAACCGACACAGGUGGGCGAGGCGAGUAGCCUCAGGCGCUCGAGUGAGUCUUGGUUAAGGAACUCGGCAAAAUGUCCCCGUAACUUCGGGAGAAGGGGAGCCGGCGGUAGGUGACCCUGCCUCGCGCAGGAGAGCCGAAACCGGCCGCAGAGAAUCGGCCCAAGCGACUGUUUAGUAAAAACACAGGUGUCUGCAAAGUCGUCAAGACGACGUAUAGGCACUGACGCCUGCCCGGUGCCGGAAGGUUAAAUGGAAGGGUUAGCUUCGGCGAAGCUCUGAAAUGAAGCCCCGGUAAACGGCGGCCGUAACUAUAACGGUCCUAAGGUAGCGAAAUU
rnacentral:rRNA from 1 species